AUUGAACGCUGGCGGCAUGCCUUACACAUGCAAGUCGAACGGUAACAGGUCUUCGGAUGCUGACGAGUGGCGAACGGGUGAGUAAUGCAUCGGAACGUGCCCAGUAGUGGGGGAUAGCCCGGCGAAAGCUGGAUUAAUACCGCAUACGACCUGAGGGUGAAAGGGGGGGAUCGCAAGACCUCUCGCUAUUGGAGCGGCCGAUGUCAGAUUAGCUAGUUGGUGGGGUAAAGGCCUACCAAGGCAACGAUCUGUAGUUGGUCUGAGAGGACGACCAGCCACACUGGGACUGAGACACGGACCAGACUCCUACGGGAGGCAGCAGUGGGGAAUUUUGGACAAUGGGCGCAAGCCUGAUCCAGCAAUGCCGCGUGCAGGAAGAAGGCCUUCGGGUUGUAAACUGCUUUUGUCAGGGAAGAAAUCUUCUGGGUUAAUACCUCGGGAGGAUGACGGUACCUGAAGAAUAAGCACCAGCUAACUACGUGCCAGCCGCCGCCGUAAUAC
rnacentral:rRNA from 1 species